AGAGUUUGAUCCUGGCUCAGAUUGAACGCUGGCGGCAUGCCUUACACAUGCAAGUCGAACGGUAACGCGGGGCAACCUGGCGACGAGUGGCGAACGGGUGAGUAAUAUAUCGGAACGUGCCCAGNUAGUGGGGGAUAGCCCGGCGAAAGCCGGAUUAAUACCGCAUACGACCUACGGGUGAAAGCGGGGGAUCGCAAGACCUCGCGCUAUUGGAGCGGCCGAUAUCAGAUUAGGUAGUUGGUGGGGUAAAAGCCUACCAAGCCGACGAUCUGUAGCUGGUCUGAGAGGACGACCAGCCACACUGGGACUGAGACACGGCCCAGACUCCUACGGGAGGCAGCAGUGGGGAAUUUUGGACAAUGGGCGCAAGCCUGAUCCAGCCAUGCCGCGUGCGGGAAGAAGGCCUUCGGGUUGUAAACCGCUUUUGUCAGGGNAAGAAACGCUCUGGGCUAAUACCCCGGGGUAAUGACGGUACCUGAAGAAUAAGCACCGGCUAACUACGUGCCAGCAGCCGCGGUAAUACGUAGGGUGCAAGCGUUAAUCGGAAUUACUGGGCGUAAAGCGUGCGCAGGCGGUUAUGCAAGACAGAUGUGAAAUCCCCGGGCUUAACCUGGGAACUGCAUUUGUGACUGCAUAGCUAGAGUACGGUAGAGGGGGAUGGAAUUCCGCGUGUAGCAGUG
rnacentral:rRNA from 1 species